AACAAGGUUCGGAUCGAGCAGAGAGCCUUGACUAGCUAUAGCUAUCAUCUCCAAGUCCCAUUUUGCCAUCACAGCAACUCAGCAAGGCACAAGAGCAGCAAGUGUUGGCAAAUUAAGCACCCGAUUCUGAUCGAGCCUAAGAAAUGGGUGCUUUUCUGAUGCUAAUUGACGCCAUACUCUUUUUAUACUUCAUCGUAAUGGCGAUGUCGCCGAUGGUCAACGCGCAGCUAGUUCUGCCUCCAAGCCUCUUUCUGGAGUGGAUGGUGGAGUACCGAGUACAAGAACUGGUACGUCGGCGAGUUCGAUGACUAUUGCUUUGUGGAGAAGCCUCAUUUCAUCGUUGGUCUUGUCUUGGUUGAACUUGUAUUCCAGUGGCCUCUUGCCCUUGCCAACUUGUAUGGCAUGUUGGUUGGAAAGUCUUGGUACAACACCACCUGCUUGGUCCAUGGCGCCACUUACUUAACCACCAUGGUCACCGUGUUAACAGAGAUGAUAGGUUCUGGCAAGGCAUCGAACAAGCUGUUACUAUUGUGCUACCCUUUUUUGGGGUUUAUGUGUUGGCCAUGCUGCGUGGGCUGCUGCCGCCAUCAACCUCUACUUCAACAGCCAAUGCCACAAAAAAGAAAAGGAUUUAGAUCUCGAUCAGCUAUCAUUUCACGUUUGUAAACUUUAGUUGGAUCUCAUUUGUAUGUUUAUCUUGUUUAAGGCAAUUAAGAACUCAAGGAAGCCAGCAGGAAGGGACAUUAGUUGGUCA